rnacentral:rRNA from 1 species
UACGGGAGGCAGCAGUGAGGAAUAUUGCACAAUGGAGGAAACCCUGAUGCAGCAACGCCGCGUGAGCGAUGAAGGUCUUCGGAUCGUAAAGCUCUGUCUUUAGGGAUGAUAAUGACAGUACCUAAGGAGGAAGCCACGGCUAACUACGUGCCAGCAGCCGCGGUAAU